rnacentral:rRNA from 1 species
AAAAUAUCCUCAUAAGUUAGACGAAAAGAGGUACCAUUUGUGAUUUCUAUUACUAAGACUUUUGUUUUAAUAAUUGAUAGAUAAAUGGUGGCACAUAAUCGGAGGCCCCGACUGUUUACUAAAAACACAACACAGUGCAAUCAUUAAUAUGGUAGUAUACUGUGUGAAAUUUGCCCAAUGCCAUUAAUAUAAAAGCGGUCAUAGGAAACUGUGACUAAUUGAAAAUCUGGUUAAUAGCGGUCUUAACCAUGAGGAUCCUAAGGUAGCAAAAUAAAUUGGCCAUUAAAUGUGGUCCGGUAUCAAUAAUGUAACGAUGGCCUCACUGUCUCUACAACUUGCUCAGUGAAAUUGAAUUACGCGUGCAGAUGCGCGUUACCUCCAGUGGGACGGGAAGACCCUAUGAG